rnacentral:rRNA from 1 species
AGAGUUUGAUCCUGGCUCAGGAUGAACGCUGGCGGCAUGCCUCAUACAUGCAAGUCGAACGACACGCCGUCUUCGGACGGAAGGUGAGUGGCGUCCGGGUGAGUAACACGUAGGAACCUACCCCAAAGCGGGGGAUAGCUCGCCGAAAGGCGAAUUAAUACCGCAUGUGCGGACUCUUUUUUAACAAUAGAGUUUGUAAAGCCUUUGGGCACUUUGGGAGGGGCCUGCGGCCCAUCAGCUAGUUGGUAGGGUAACUGCCUACCAAGGCUACGACGGGUAGCUGGUCUGAGAGGACGAUCAGCCACACUGGCACUGAAAUACGGGCCAGACUCCUACGGGAGGCAGCAGUAGGGAAUUUUCCGCAAUGGGCGAAAGCCUGACGGAGCGAUGCCGCGUGAAGGAUUAAGCCCCUCGGGGUGUAAACUUCUUUUCUGAGGGACGAUUUCGGACGGUACCUCAGGAAUAAGUGCCUGCUAACUACGUGCCAGCAGCAGCGGUAUACGUAGGGCACAAGCGUUAUCCGGAGUUAUUGGGCGUAAAGGGUGUGUAGGCGGCUCUAUUAGUCCAUCGUAAAAUCCUCUGGCUCAACCAGAGAACCGCGGUGGAUACUGUAGGGCUAGAGUGGAUGAGAGGAACGUGGAAUUCCCGGUGUAGCGGUAAAAUGCAUUGAUAUCGGGAGGAACACCAGAAGCGAAGGCGACGUUCUGGCAUCCUACUGACGCUAAAGCACGAAAGCUAGGGUAGCGAAAGGGAUUAGAUACCCCUGUAGUCCUAGCCGUAAACGGUGAAUACUAGAUAUUGGAAGUGUCGACCCUUUCAGUAUCGCAGCUAACGCGUUAAGUAUUCCGCCUGGGGAGUACGGUCGCAAGACUAAAACUCAAAGGAAUUGACGGGGAUCCGCACAAGCAGCGGAGCGUGUGGUUUAAUUCGAUGCAACGCGAAGAACCUUACCUAGACUUGACAUCCUGGGAAUCUUGGGUAAUGCCGAGAGUGCCCGUAAGGGAACCCAGAGACAGGUGCUGCAUGGCUAUCGUCAGCUCGUGCCGUGAGGUGUUAGGUUAAGUCCUUUAACGAGCGCAACCCUCGUCCUGUGUUAUAUAUGUCACAGGAGACUGCCCGGUAUAACUGGGAGGAAGGCGGGGAUGACGUUAAGUCAGCAUGGCUUUUACGUCUAGGGCUACACACACGCUACAAUGGUCGGUACAAUGGGUCGCGACGCCGCGAGGUUUUAGCUAAUCCCAUCAAAACCGGCCCCAGUUCAGAUUGCAGGCUGCAACUCGCCUGCAUGAAGUUGGAGUUGCUAGUAAUCGUGGAUCAGCAUGCCACGGUGAAUAUGUUCCCGGAUCUUGUACUCACCGCCCGUCAAGCCCUGAAAAUCAGGGGUGCCCGAACUAGGUGAGCCAACCUUUUAGGCGGCAGCUUAGGAAGGCAAAUCUGAUGAUUAGGACUAAGUCGUAACAAGGUA